AUUUAUGUAGUUUAAUUAUAAAACAUAUCAUUUUCAAUGAUAAAAUAAAUAAAAUUUCAUAAAUU
rnacentral:tRNA from 1 species